AUGUUAAUCUGUCUGUGUUUCAGUCUCAGGACAUUUUCCAGUUGCUUCUGCCACAACAAUCUCUGCCAUCUCAGUGCCUCUGAUGCCCCUUGUGAAUUCAGAAAGCUCUGCAGCGCCAGCAGGACUUCACAAAAACCCAUUGCCAACCAAUCCUUAUUCUCUUCUUCCUUUCAGUCAUCUUUAAGUCUCAAAGCUUGUCUGAAAGAUACCAAUCACUUCAGUUUUCCUCCAGGACAAUGCACCAAGAUCAGACAGAUGAGAAUUCUCACUUGAAGACAGGUAAUCACCCAUCUGAAAGAGGAGACAUGUUAUUUACCCCAGUAAGGCAAAGUCACAAGCAUUUCCUGUUCUUUUCUUUUCAUUGCUUUUCCUUUCCUUACUUUUAUUUUAUUCGGUUGUUGGUUUUAGAUGGAGCAAUGAUUUGUGCAGUGGGACUCACUCACUUAACCAGAGUAUCCCCAGGAUAGAAAAAGGACCAGGAGAGAAGGCCAUGUUCAUCAAAAGGUAUAGAAAGCGCAAAGAAAGCUUCCAAGUACUGUUGUUGCCUUUCUUCCUUUUGAUCCUCUCUCCCCAUAGAGUACCUUUUUUUUUUUGAAAGCAUACUUUUCCAAGUUGUUACAUUAACAAAUUUGCACUGAUUUCUUUAUCCUUGUCAUCUAAAGACCACCUUGUUGGCGGAUGGUGAACUUUUCCUUCAUGCCAGGCCUGCUGCACUGUCUAAUGUCACAAGUGUCUGCUCACAUUAGCUCCUGGAGACUGAAGAAGAUUCCGCAUGGGGCCUUUCCAGCAAGUUGAUUUGACAGAAUGAGUCCCCAUGCUAGCUCGUGGCACUUAUCAGUUAGCCAGCCUUCCUUGGGGAGGAGAAUUUAGAGUGCACCAUAUUCAGUUUCCAAAUCAACUGCUGUCCCCUCAGGAAGCUGUGUGUUGCAUUAUUAAAAGAGAUGCCUUUGACCAUAGCGCCAUACUUAAACAUUCAUCCACAUUAAAAAAAAAAAAAAAAAAAGGUAGAGUGAGGGGACCACUAAAUGCCCCACCCCCUUCCCUCUGUUAACUCUUUAUCCCUGGGUUUCGGGUCUCCCUCAAUGAACAGUCCUGUAACACACACACUUCUUAUUUUGUGAACCCUUGUUUUUAUUUUACUUUUUUUUUUUUUAAAGAUUUCCUCUGCCUUUAUUUUAAUUACUUGGAAUGGCUAUGAAACCUUCCCCUAAAUUUUACAACCUUGGGGCUGAGGUCACCAUAUUCCCAACCUCUGCUUUUUACUGAGUUCCCAUAGGAAAGUCAAAUCCAAGAAUCUAGCCACCAGCAGCAGCAAUGACUUUGGCUUAUCUGUUACCUACUUCUCUUAGGAGUUCAAAUGAAAUGCAAGAAUUAGUUGUGAGUUGAAAAUGAACAGAUCUGAAGCCCACAACUUUAAUUAUUACAACUUCACAUAUUUCUAAUUUUUAAAAAAAAAUAAAGUUUAUAUUCAGUUUACCUUUAUCUUUCCA
rnacentral:lncRNA from 12 species